rnacentral:rRNA from 1 species
GGGUUGUGAGGUUAAGCGACUAAGCGUACACGGUGGAUGCCCUGGCAGUCAGAGGCGAUGAAGGACGUGCUAAUCUGCGAUAAGCGUCGGUAAGGUGAUAUGAACCGUUAUAACCGGCGAUUUCCGAAUGGGGAAACCCAGUGUGUUUCGACACACUAUCAUUAACUGAAUCCAUAGGUUAAUGAGGCGAACCGGGGGAACUGAAACAUCUAAGUACCCCGAGGAAAAGAAAUCAACCGAGAUUCCCCCAGUAGCGGCGAGCGAACGGGGAGCAGCCCAGAGCCUGAAUCAGUGUGUGUGUUAGUGGAAGCGUCUGGAAAGGCGCGCGAUACAGGGUGACAGCCCCGUACACAAAAAUGCACAUGCUGUGAGCUCGAUGAGUAGGGCGGGACACGUGGUAUCCUGUCUGAAUAUGGGGGGACCAUCCUCCAAGGCUAAAUACUCCUGACUGACCGAUAGUGAACCAGUACCGUGAGGGAAAGGCGAAAAGAACCCCGGCGAGGGGAGUGAAAAAGAACCUGAAACCGUGUACGUACAAGCAGUGGGAGCACGCUUAGGCGUGUGACUGCGUACCUUUUGUAUAAUGGGUCAGCGACUUAUAUUCUGUAGCAAGGUUAACCGAAUAGGGGAGCCGAAGGGAAACCGAGUCUUAACUGGGCGUUAAGUUGCAGGGUAUAGACCCGAAACCCGGUGAUCUAGCCAUGGGCAGGUUGAAGGUUGGGUAACACUAACUGGAGGACCGAACCGACUAAUGUUGAAAAAUUAGCGGAUGACUUGUGGCUGGGGGUGAAAGGCCAAUCAAACCGGGAGAUAGCUGGUUCUCCCCGAAAGCUAUUUAGGUAGCGCCUCGUGAAUUCAUCUCCGGGGGUAGAGCACUGUUUCGGCAAGGGGGUCAUCCCGACUUACCAACCCGAUGCAAACUGCGAAUACCGGAGAAUGUUAUCACGGGAGACACACGGCGGGUGCUAACGUCCGUCGUGAAGAGGGAAACAACCCAGACCGCCAGCUAAGGUCCCAAAGUCAUGGUUAAGUGGGAAACGAUGUGGGAAGGCCCAGACAGCCAGGAUGUUGGCUUAGAAGCAGCCAUCAUUUAAAGAAAGCGUAAUAGCUCACUGGUCGAGUCGGCCUGCGCGGAAGAUGUAACGGGGCUAAACCAUGCACCGAAGCUGCGGCAGCGACGCUUAUGCGUUGUUGGGUAGGGGAGCGUUCUGUAAGCCUGUGAAGGUGUACUGUGAGGUAUGCUGGAGGUAUCAGAAGUGCGAAUGCUGACAUAAGUAACGAUAAAGCGGGUGAAAAGCCCGCUCGCCGGAAGACCAAGGGUUCCUGUCCAACGUUAAUCGGGGCAGGGUGAGUCGACCCCUAAGGCGAGGCCGAAAGGCGUAGUCGAUGGGAAACAGGUUAAUAUUCCUGUACUUGGUGUUACUGCGAAGGGGGGACGGAGAAGGCUAUGUUGGCCGGGCGACGGUUGUCCCGGUUUAAGCGUGUAGGCUGGUUUUCCAGGCAAAUCCGGAAAAUCAAGGCUGAGGCGUGAUGACGAGGCACUACGGUGCUGAAGCAACAAAUGCCCUGCUUCCAGGAAAAGCCUCUAAGCAUCAGGUAACAUCAAAUCGUACCCCAAACCGACACAGGUGGUCAGGUAGAGAAUACCAAGGCGCUUGAGAGAACUCGGGUGAAGGAACUAGGCAAAAUGGUGCCGUAACUUCGGGAGAAGGCACGCUGAUAUGUAGGUGAAGCGACUUGCUCGUGGAGCUGAAAUCAGUCGAAGAUACCAGCUGGCUGCAACUGUUUAUUAAAAACACAGCACUGUGCAAACACGAAAGUGGACGUAUACGGUGUGACGCCUGCCCGGUGCCGGAAGGUUAAUUGAUGGGGUCAGCGCAAGCGAAGCUCUUGAUCGAAGCCCCGGUAAACGGCGGCCGUAACUAUAACGGUCCUAAGGUAGCGAAAUUCCUUGUCGGGUAAGUUCCGACCUGCACGAAUGGCGUAAUGAUGGCCAGGCUGUCUCCACCCGAGACUCAGUGAAAUUGAACUCGCUGUGAAGAUGCAGUGUACCCGCGGCAAGACGGAAAGACCCCGUGAACCUUUACUAUAGCUUGACACUGAACAUUGAGCCUUGAUGUGUAGGAUAGGUGGGAGGCUUUGAAGUGUGGACGCCAGUCUGCAUGGAGCCGACCUUGAAAUACCACCCUUUAAUGUUUGAUGUUCUAACGUUGACCCGUAAUCCGGGUUGCGGACAGUGUCUGGUGGGUAGUUUGACUGGGGCGGUCUCCUCCUAAAGAGUAACGGAGGAGCACGAAGGUUGGCUAAUCCUGGUCGGACAUCAGGAGGUUAGUGCAAUGGCAUAAGCCAGCUUGACUGCGAGCGUGACGGCGCGAGCAGGUGCGAAAGCAGGUCAUAGUGAUCCGGUGGUUCUGAAUGGAAGGGCCAUCGCUCAACGGAUAAAAGGUACUCCGGGGAUAACAGGCUGAUACCGCCCAAGAGUUCAUAUCGACGGCGGUGUUUGGCACCUCGAUGUCGGCUCAUCACAUCCUGGGGCUGAAGUAGGUCCCAAGGGUAUGGCUGUUCGCCAUUUAAAGUGGUACGCGAGCUGGGUUUAGAACGUCGUGAGACAGUUCGGUCCCUAUCUGCCGUGGGCGCUGGAGAACUGAGGGGGGCUGCUCCUAGUACGAGAGGACCGGAGUGGACGCAUCACUGGUGUUCGGGUUGUCAUGCCAAUGGCACUGCCCGGUAGCUAAAUGCGGAAGAGAUAAGUGCUGAAAGCAUCUAAGCACGAAACUUGCCCCGAGAUGAGUUCUCCCUGACUCCUUGAGAGUCCUGAAGGAACGUUGAAGACGACGACGUUGAUAGGCCGGGUGUGUAAGCGCAGCGAUGCGUUGAGCUAACCGGUACUAAUGAACCGUGAGGCUUAACCUUACAACGCCGAAGGUGUUU